rnacentral:rRNA from 1 species
GUAGGUGGCAAGCGUUGUCCGGAAUUAUUGGGCGUAAAGCGCGCGCAGGCGGUUCUUUAAGUCUGAUGUGAAAGCCCACGGCUCAACCGUGGAGGGUCAUUGGAAACUGGAGAACUUGAGUACAGAAGAGGAAAGCGGAAUUCCACGUGUAGCGGUGAAAUGCGUAGAGAUGUGGAGGAACACCAGUGGCGAAGGCGGCUUUCUGGUCUGUAACUGACGCUGAGGCGCGAAAGCGUGGGGAGCAAACAGGAUUAGACGCCUGGUAGUCCACGCCGUAAACGAUGAGUGCUAAGUGUUAGGGGGUUUCCGCCCCCCUUAGUGCUGCAGCCAACGCAUUAAGCACUCCGCCUGGGAGUACGGCCGCAAGGCUG